UACGGAGGGGGCUAGCGUUGUUCGGAAUUACUGGGCGUAAAGCGCGCGUAGGCGGACCUGCAAGUCGGGGGUGAAAGCCCGAGGCUCAACCUCGGAACUGCCUUCGAUACUGCGGGUCUCGAGUCCGGGAGAGGUGAGUGGAAUUCCUAGUGUAGAGGUGAAAUUCGUAGAUAUUGGGAAGAACACCGGUGGCGAAGGCGGCUUCCUGGACCGACACUGACGCUGAGGCGCGAAAGCUAGGGGAGCAAACGGG
rnacentral:rRNA from 1 species